CACACACAACACAGAGAACUACAACCGUGUCGGAGAACCUCUGCCGUUCCACAACAAACAAUGUGCCUUGUGCUGAGUCAGCUUACAUCAAUAUGUUACUAUGGUUACACCAGCAGUAGGUCAUGUGAUCUGACUGUUGACACAGCUUAUGUCAAUAUGUUACCAUGGUUACACCAGCAGUAGGUCAUGUGAUCUGACUGUUGAUACAGCUUAUGUCAAUAUGUUACCAUGGUUACACCAGCAGUAGGUCAUGUGAUCUGACUGUUGAUACAGCUUAUGUCAAUAUGUUACCAUGGUUACACCAGCAGUAGGUCAUGUGAUCUGACUGUUGAUACAGCUUAUGUCAAUAUGUUACCAUGGUUACACCAGCAGUAGGUCAUGUGAUCUGACUGUUGAUACAGCUUAUGUCAAUAUGUUACCAUGGUUACACCAGCAGUAGGUCAUGUGAUCUGACUAGCUCUGGAAUGCAGUGGUUAGGAGUGUCUGAUAAAUGACUAAGGGGAAAUGGCGUCCUGUUCUCUGUGCUUCACUGUUGACCAGAGCUCUGUGGGCCCUGGACAGAGGUAGGUACUCUAUAGGGGAGCUUUUGAGACGCAGACUAAGCUGGGAUGUAAAACAUCACC